rnacentral:rRNA from 1 species
ACAUGCCUACAAAAUAACGUUAAUGCACCGGAUCCCAUUAGAACUCUGCAGUUAAGCAUGCUCAUGCUAGAGUAGUAUUGGGGUGGGUGACUGUCUGGGAGGUCUUAGUGUUUUACAUGCC